UACGGAAGGCAGCAGUGGGGAAUAUUGCACAAUGGGCGCAAGCCUGAUGCAGCCAUGCCGCGUGUAUGAAGAAGGCCUUCGGGUUGUAAAGUACUUUCAGUCGUGAGGAAGGUGUUAAGGUUAAUAACCUUAGCAAUUGACGUUAGCGACAGAAGAAGCACCGGCUAACUCCGUGCCAGCAGCCGCGGUAAUACGGAGGGUGCGAGCGUUAAUCGGAAUUACUGGGCGUAAAGGGCACGCAGGCGGUUAAUUAAGUUGGAUGUGAAAUCCCCGGGCUUAACCUGGGAAUGGCAUUCAAGACUGGUUAGCUAGAGUCUUGUAGAGGGGGUAGAAUUCCAUGUGUAGCGGUGAAAUGCGUAGAGAUGUGGAGGAAUACCGGGUGGCGAAGGCGGCCCCUGGGACAAAGACUGACGCCCAUGUGCGAAAGCGUGGGGAGCAAACG
rnacentral:rRNA from 1 species